rnacentral:rRNA from 1 species
GACGAACGCUGGCGGCGUGCCUAAUACAUGCAAGUCGAGCGCUGAGGGUUGGUACUUGUACCUACUGCAUGAGCAGCGAACGGGUGAGUAACGCGUGGGGAACCUGCCUUUGAGCGGGGGACAACUUCGGGAAACGAAUGCUAAUACCGCAUAAAAACUUUAAACACAAGUUUUAAGUUUGAAAGAUGCAAUUGCAUCACUCAAAGAUGGUCCCGCGUCGUAUUAGCUAGUUGGUGAGGUAAAGGCUGACCAAGGCGAUGAGACGUAGCCGACCGGGGAGGGGGAUCGGCCAAACGGGAACGCAGACACGGUCCAGAAUCCUACGGGCGGCAGCAGUAGGGAAUCUUACGCAAUGGGCGAAAGCCUGACGGAGCAACGCCGCGGGAGUGAGGAAGGUCUUCGGAUCGUAAAACUCUGUUAUUAGGGAAGAACAAAUGUGUAAGUAACUAUGCACGUCUGGACGGUACCUAAUCAGAAAGCCACGGCUAACUACGUG